UUAAGCGACUAAGCGUACACGGUGGAUGCCCUGGCAGUCAGAGGCGAUGAAGGACGUGCUAAUCUGCGAUAAGCGUCGGUGAGGUGAUAUGAACCGUUAUAACCGGCGAUUUCCGAAUGGGGAAACCCAGUGUGUUUCGACACACUAUCAUUAACUGAAUCCAUAGGUUAAUGAGGCGAACCGGGGGAACUGAAACAUCUAAGUACCCCGAGGAAAAGAAAUCAACCGAGAUUCCCCCAGUAGCGGCGAGCGAACGGGGAGGAGCCCAGAGCCUGAAUCAGUGUGUGUGUUAGUGGAAGCGUCUGGAAAGGCGUGCGAUACAGGGUGACAGCCCCGUACACAAAAAUGCACAUAUUGUGAGCUCGAUGAGUAGGGCGGGACACGUGGUAUCCUGUCUGAAUAUGGGGGGACCAUCCUCCAAGGCUAAAUACUCCUGACUGACCGAUAGUGAACCAGUACCGUGAGGGAAAGGCGAAAAGAACCCCGGCGAGGGGAGUGAAAAAGAACCUGAAACCGUGUACGUACAAGCAGUGGGAGCCUCUUUAUGGGGUGACUGCGUACCUUUUGUAUAAUGGGUCAGCGACUUAUAUUCUGUAGCAAGGUUAACCGAAUAGGGGAGCCGAAGGGAAACCGAGUCUUAACUGGGCGUUAAGUUGCAGGGUAUAGACCCGAAACCCGGUGAUCUAGCCAUGGGCAGGUUGAAGGUUGGGUAACACUAACUGGAGGACCGAACCGACUAAUGUUGAAAAAUUAGCGGAUGACUUGUGGCUGGGGGUGAAAGGCCAAUCAAACCGGGAGAUAGCUGGUUCUCCCCGAAAGCUAUUUAGGUAGCGCCUCGUGAAUUCAUCUCCGGGGGUAGAGCACUGUUUCGGCAAGGGGGUCAUCCCGACUUACCAACCCGAUGCAAACUGCGAAUACCGGAGAAUGUUAUCACGGGAGACACACGGCGGGUGCUAACGUCCGUCGUGAAGAGGGAAACAACCCAGACCGCCAGCUAAGGUCCCAAAGUCAUGGUUAAGUGGGAAACGAUGUGGGAAGGCCCAGACAGCCAGGAUGUUGGCUUAGAAGCAGCCAUCAUUUAAAGAAAGCGUAAUAGCUCACUGGUCGAGUCGGCCUGCGCGGAAGAUGUAACGGGGCUAAACCAUGCACCGAAGCUGCGGCAGCGACACUAUGUGUUGUUGGGUAGGGGAGCGUUCUGUAAGCCUGUGAAGGUGGCCUGUGAGGGUUGCUGGAGGUAUCAGAAGUGCGAAUGCUGACAUAAGUAACGAUAAAGCGGGUGAAAAGCCCGCUCGCCGGAAGACCAAGGGUUCCUGUCCAACGUUAAUCGGGGCAGGGUGAGUCGACCCCUAAGGCGAGGCCGAAAGGCGUAGUCGAUGGGAAACAGGUUAAUAUUCCUGUACUUGGUGUUACUGCGAAGGGGGGACGGAGAAGGCUAUGUUGGCCGGGCGACGGUUGUCCCGGUUUAAGCGUGUAGGCUGGUUUUCUAGGCAAAUCCGGAAAACCAAGGCUGAGGCGUGAUGACGAGGCACUACGGUGCUGAAGCGACAAAUGCCCUGCUUCCAGGAAAAGCCUCUAAGCAUCAGGUAACAUCAAAUCGUACCCCAAACCGACACAGGUGGUCAGGUAGAGAAUACCAAGGCGCUUGAGAGAACUCGGGUGAAGGAACUAGGCAAAAUGGUGCCGUAACUUCGGGAGAAGGCACGCUGAUAUGUAGGUGAAGCGACUUGCUCGUGGAGCUGAAAUCAGUCGAAGAUACCAGCUGGCUGCAACUGUUUAUUAAAAACACAGCACUGUGCAAACACGAAAGUGGACGUAUACGGUGUGACGCCUGCCCGGUGCCGGAAGGUUAAUUGAUGGGGUUAGCGGUAACGCGAAGCUCUUGAUCGAAGCCCCGGUAAACGGCGGCCGUAACUAUAACGGUCCUAAGGUAGCGAAAUUCCUUGUCGGGUAAGUUCCGACCUGCACGAAUGGCGUAAUGAUGGCCAGGCUGUCUCCACCCGAGACUCAGUGAAAUUGAACUCGCUGUGAAGAUGCAGUGUACCCGCGGCAAGACGGAAAGACCCCGUGAACCUUUACUAUAGCUUGACACUGAACAUUGAGCCUUGAUGUGUAGGAUAGGUGGGAGGCUUUGAAGUGUGGACGCCAGUCUGCAUGGAGCCGACCUUGAAAUACCACCCUUUAAUGUUUGAUGUUCUAACGUUGGCCCGUAAUCCGGGUUGCGGACAGUGUCUGGUGGGUAGUUUGACUGGGGCGGUCUCCUCCUAAAGAGUAACGGAGGAGCACGAAGGUUGGCUAAUCCUGGUCGGACAUCAGGAGGUUAGUGCAAUGGCAUAAGCCAGCUUGACUGCGAGCGUGACGGCGCGAGCAGGUGCGAAAGCAGGUCAUAGUGAUCCGGUGGUUCUGAAUGGAAGGGCCAUCGCUCAACGGAUAAAAGGUACUCCGGGGAUAACAGGCUGAUACCGCCCAAGAGUUCAUAUCGACGGCGGUGUUUGGCACCUCGAUGUCGGCUCAUCACAUCCUGGGGCUGAAGUAGGUCCCAAGGGUAUGGCUGUUCGCCAUUUAAAGUGGUACGCGAGCUGGGUUUAGAACGUCGUGAGACAGUUCGGUCCCUAUCUGCCGUGGGCGCUGGAGAACUGAGGGGGGCUGCUCCUAGUACGAGAGGACCGGAGUGGACGCAUCACUGGUGUUCGGGUUGUCAUGCCAAUGGCACUGCCCGGUAGCUAAAUGCGGAAGAGAUAAGUGCUGAAAGCAUCUAAGCACGAAACUUGCCCCGAGAUGAGUUCUCCCUGAGACUUAGAGUCUCCUGAAGGAACGUUGAAGACGACGACGUUGAUAGGCCGGGUGUGUAAGCGCAGCGAUGCGUUGAGCUAACCGGUACUAAUGAACCGUGAGGCUUAACCU
rnacentral:rRNA from 1 species